rnacentral:lncRNA from 1 species
ACUAAAUGUUCAUAAACUUAUACAACACCAAACCUUAUUACAACUUAGAAACAAAGUACAUACUACAUAAUCUCACUAUACAAUACUGAAUCAAACUGAAAUAAACUUGUAGAGGUUCAUCUACUAACAUCGAGAAGGCUCUAGCUGGCCGCUGACCCCUCGCCAGGAACCCUAGCCUUUCCCGCUGUGGAAGGCUCUGCAUAAAAACAAUCAACAAGAGGGUGUGAGAACUAUUAAACAAUAGUUCCAA